rnacentral:lncRNA from 1 species
UCAAGGAUUUAAUAUUUUUUUAAUUGUAAAAUAUCUCAUUAAUAAUAUUGUAUAUUGAGUAAUAAUAGUUUGGAUAUAUUGGGUUAAAUAAAAUAUAUUACUGAAAUAGAGUUCACCUAUUUCUUUUUGCUUUUUUUUUUAAGAGAUAGGGUCUCACCUUGUUACCCAGGAUGGACUCGAACUCCUGGGCUCAAAUGAUCCUGCCUCAGCCUCUCAAGUAGCUGGAACUACAGCCACAAGAACUUGCUGUGGGUAGCCACUGAUGAUAUAUGGAGCAGACCAGAAACCAACCUGCAGCCAGAAGCCACGUGCUGCAAAGCCGAAACCACCUGCAGACCCAUAAGUAAGAAAUAAAUGUUUGCUUUUGUAAGCCAUUGAGAUUUGGGAGGUUAGUUGUUAUGUACCAUUAGCACAGCAGAAACCUGACUAAUACAGGUUUCUUCCCUGCUCUGGAAAAACAAAACAAUAAAU